rnacentral:rRNA from 1 species
CAGCAGCCGCGGGAAUACGAAGGGUGCAAGCGUUAAUCGGAAUUACUGGGCGUAAAGCGCGCGUAGGUGGUUUGGUAAGAUGGAUGUGAAAUCCCCGGGCUCAACCUGGGAACUGCAUCCAUAACUGCCUGACUAGAGUACGGUAGAGGGUGGUGGAAUUUCCUGUGUAGCGGUGAAAUGCGUAGAUAUAGGAAGGAACACCAGUGGCGAAGGCGACCACCUGGACUGAUACUGACACUGAGGUGCGAAAGCGUGGGGAGCAAACAGGAUUAGAUACCCGGGUAGUCCCUGUCUUUUAUAC